rfam:Ajellomyces capsulatus NAm1 scaffold_276 mitochondrial scaffold, whole genome shotgun sequence.
GGAAAAGUUGCUAUUGGUAAAGCAAGAUAUUUGCUAAAUAUUGUGUUUAUACAUAUAGAUGUUCGAAUCAUCUCUUUUCCG